GACGAACGCUGGCGGCGUGCUUAACACAUGCAAGUCGAACGGAAAGGCCCUGCUUUUGUGGGGUGCUCGAGUGGCGAACGGGUGAGUAACACGUGAGUAACCUGCCCUUUACUUUGGGAUAACUUCAGGAAACUGGGGCUAAUACCGGAUAGGAGCUCCUGCUGCAUGGUGGGGUUUGGAAAGUUUCGGCGGUUGGGGAUGUACUCGCGGCUUAUCAGCUUGUUGGUGGGGUAGUGGCUUACCAAGGCUUUGACGGGUAGCCGGCCUGAGAGGGUGACCGGCGACAUUGGGACUGAGAUACGGACCAGACUCCUACGGGAGGCAGCAGUGGGGAAUAUUGCACAAUGGGCGGAAGCCUGAUGCAGAAGCGCCGCGAGCGGGAUGACGGCCUUGGGGUUGUAAACCGCUUUCGCCUGUGACGAAGCGUGAGUGACGGUAAUGGGUAAAGAAGCACCGGCUAACUACGUG
rnacentral:rRNA from 1 species